CAGCAGCCACGGUAACACGGAGGGAGCUAGCGUUGUUCGGAAUUACUGGGCGUAAAGCGCACGUAGGCGGUUAUUCAAGUCAGAGGUGAAAGCCCGGGGCUCAACCCCGGAACUGCCUUUGAAACUAGAUGACUAGAAUCUUGGAGAGGUCAGUGGAAUUCCGAGUGUAGAGGUGAAAUUCGUAGAUAUUCGGAAGAACACCAGUGGCGAAGGCGACUGACUGGACAAGUAUUGACGCUGAGGUGCGAAAGCGUGGGGAGCAAACAGGAUUAGAUACCCGUGUAGUCCCUGUCUCUUAUAA
rnacentral:rRNA from 1 species